GGCACAGUGGCUGAGUGGUCUAAAGCGAUAGACUCGAAUUUUAAAUUCUUGAUAUCUAUUCUCUUCGGAGGCGUCCGUUCGAAUCGGGCCUGUGUCG